rnacentral:rRNA from 1 species
GACAGAGGUGCCGAGCGUUAGGCGGAAUCACUGGGCUUAAAGCGUGUGUAGGCGGACCGUUAAGUACCUUGUGAAAUCCCACGGCUCAACCGUGGAACGGCUGGGUAUACUGGCGGUCUUUGGGGCCACCUAGGGGGUCAUCGGAACAGGCGGUGGAGCGGUGAAAUGCGUAGAUAUCGUUUGGAACGCCAAUGGUGAAAACAGACAGCUGGGAGUGUGCUGACGCUGAGACACGAAAGCCAGGGGAGCGAACGGG